UACGUAGGGUGCGAGCGUUAAUCGGAAUUACUGGGCGUAAAGCGUGCGCAGGCGGUUUUGUAAGACAGGCGUGAAAUCCCCGAGCUCAACUUGGGAAUUGCGCUUGUGACUGCAAGGCUAGAGUGUGUCAGAGGGGGGUAGAAUUCCACGUGUAGCAGUGAAAUGCGUAGAGAUGUGGAGGAAUACCGAUGGCGAAGGCAGCCCCCUGGGUCAACACUGACGCUCAUGCACGAAAGCGUGGGGAGCAAACAGG
rnacentral:rRNA from 1 species